rnacentral:rRNA from 1 species
CCUACGGGAGGCAGCAGUGAGGAAUAUUGGUCAAUGGGCGCGAGCCUGAACCAGCCAAGUCGCGUGAGGGAAGAAGGUCCUAUGGAUUGUAAACCUCUUUUGUCGGGGAGCAAAAGACGCCACGCGUGGCGUUCCGAGAGUACCCGAAGAAAAAGCAUCGGCUAACUCCGUGCCCGCAGCCGCGGUAAUACGGAGGAUGCGCGCGUUAUCCGGAUUUAUUGGGUUUAAAGGGGGCGCAGGCGGAAGAUCAAGGUAGCGGUAAAAUUGAGAGGCUCAACCUCUUCGAGCCGUUGAAACUGGUUUUCUUGAGUGAGCGAGAAGUAUGCGGAAUGCGUGGUGUAGCGGUGAAAUGCAUAGAUAUCACGCAGAACUCCGAUUGCGAAGGCAGCAUACCGGCGCUCAACUGACGCUCAUGCACGAAAGUGUGGGUAUCGAACAGGAUUAGAUACCCCUGUAGUC